rnacentral:lncRNA from 1 species
AUGGAGGCGCCUAGCGCCUAGGCCUAUUUUUAGAACCUUGAUUAUAGUUGCACAAAAAGAUUAACAUGAUGGCAAAAAAGAUUCAAGAAACAAAGAUCCCCAAUCGCAAGAAAUAAGGAAAAUGGUGUCAAUUAUAGAGAUGUAUGGUAUAAUUCUCUGUGUAUUCUUCUCCAAACAGGAGGACGCCAAGAGUCCAGUAGCCAAAAGCAUCACUAGAUUACGCUCUGAUCCGAGUAGCAUGGGACACAUGGAAUCCCAUUUGAAUCAGCAAGGACCACCUUGCAAGAUUAAAUACUCCUGGGUGGCCGAUAAUGAAGUAGUACUGUGAGUGAAGGGUGAAAAGAACCCCCAUCGGGGAGUGAAAUUGAACAUGAAACCAU